AGUGGAGUGAUGAGUGCUGGAUAAAUUGCUAGCGGCGGACGGGUGCGUAACACGUGGGUAACCUGCCCCUAUCACUGGGAUAACACACUGAAAAGUGUGCUAAUACCAGAUAACAUAAGCUUUUGGCAUCAUUAGCUUAUCAAAGAAUUUCGGAUAGGGAUGGGCCCGCGUCUGAUUAGCUAGUUGGUGAGGUAACGGCUCACCAAGGCAACGAUCAGUAGCCGACCUGAGAGGGUGAUCGGCCACACUGGAACUGAGACACGGUCCAGACUCCUACGGGAGGCAGCAGUGGGGAAUAUUGCACAAUGGGCGAAAGCCUGAUGCAGCAACGCCGCGUGAGCGAUGAAGGCCUUCGGGUCGUAAAGCUCUGUCCUAUAGGAAGAUAAUGACGGUACCAUAGGAGGAAGCCCCGGCUAACUACGUGCCAGCAGCCGCGGUAAUACGUAGGGGGCAAGCGUUAUCCGGAAUUACUGGGCGUAAAGGGUGCGUAGGCGGUUUAUCAAGUCAGGGGUGAAAGGCUACGGCUCAACCGUAGUGAGCCUCUGAAACUGGUGAACUUGAGUGUAGGAGAGGAAAGUGGAAUUCCCAGUGUAGCGGUGAAAUGCGUAGAUAUUGGGAGGAACACCAGU
rnacentral:rRNA from 1 species